GCGCCCCCAGGUCAGGCGGGC
rnacentral:rRNA from 1 species